rnacentral:rRNA from 1 species
GCUAACUCCGUGCCAGCAGCCGCGGUAAUACGGAGGGUGCGAGCGUUAAUCGGAAUUACUGGGCGUAAAGCGUGCGUAGGCGGAAGCUUAAGUCUGAUGUGAAAGCCCCGGGCUUAACCUGGGAAUGGCAUUGGAAACUGGGUUUCUAGAGUGUGGUAGAGGAUAGUGGAAUUUCCAGUGUAGCGGUGAAAUGCGUAGAUAUUGGAAAGAACACCGAUGGCGAAGGCAGCUAUCUGGGCCAACACUGACGCUGAGGUACGAAAGCGUGGGGAGCAAACAGGAUUAGAUACCCUGGUAGUC